AAGAAAAAUGCUGUGAAAGUUGUCAGUUUUAUAAUGGGACCCUAUGGGAAUCGGAAUUAGUGUAAUAUAACCUUUAAAAAGCACAUUUACUGCAAUGUCAAGGUCACAUGGAUUCGUCUGCAAGCGUAACAAGUAGAAAAUGAAUUGUAAUGAAUGUUUUGAUGAUUUGGGCUCUAAAAUAGAUGAGAGAUGUCAAUAUUUUGGUCCAAAUGGAUGUUUUAGGUGGUUUUGGACUGUUCCGGAUGGUUGGGGAACUGGUAUGGACAAGCCUGACCGUUUGUCCUUGAGCCGUAGAUGGUCAACAAUCCGCUAGCUGUCUUGCUCUGACUGGUGCACUGGACAUGAUUUCAAUAGUCAGCCAGACCAUGAUUGAGCUUAAGGAUUGUGCUGCGGAUGCAGCCUGUGCAGUUCCGGGAGAAAGUCACUGUCUUGGGCAAUGCGGUCUGGUAUCAGGUCUGGAUGAUCCUUGCCUGACUGCGGGUUUGUGUACACCUCAAUCCGACUCUGUGUCCUGAACAGAGGCCGCAGUGGUGCAGCGCUUGUGGACGAUCCAUCAACAUCCUGAAAGGUCAACACUUCACCAAGCUGGGAAAAUUGAUCCUGAUAGUCAUCCCCAGGCCUGACCGUUUGUCCUUGAGCCGUAGAUGGUCAACAAUCCGCUAGCUGUCUUGCUCUGACUGGUGCACUGGACAUGAUUUCAAUAGUCAGCCAGACCAUGAUUGAGCUUAAGGAUUGUGCUGCGGAUGCAGCCUGUGCAGUUCCGGGAGAAAGUCACUGUCUUGGGCAAUGCGGUCUGGUAUCAGGUCUGGAUGAUCCUUGCCUGACUGCGGGUUUGUGUACACCUCAAUCCGACUCUGUGUCCUGAACAGAGGCCGCAGUGGUGCAGCGCUUGUGGACGAUCCAUCAACAUCCUGAAAGGUCAACACUUCACCAAGCUGGGAAAAUUGAUCCUGAUAGUCAUCCCCAGGUAGUGGAAUGAAUGUACACUGAACUACAGUGGAAUCACACCCAAAUGACUUUCCUGCCACGACAUUAGUGUGGCCACUCGCGUAGGAAUUCCUUAGCAAACAUUCUCUUUUGCAUGGUUACUGUGGGCAUUUUUGCAACACUUAAGCUUUCAACACUGGAUUUUAAAGAGAAUACUUAAUAAAAUGUCGCUAACAGGACUUAGUUAUAUGAGAGAGACUAUCUGGAUGCGCAUUAAGUGUCACUUUGUGUCGUAAGCUGUUGAAGGAGCGAUUUGCGCCUUUUUAAGUGUUAAUUUUGGGUAGCCGGCUUGUAUCGGCUUGAAAGCUGCAAAUUUUGCCUCUCAUCAUAAUGGCAUUAAUUUUUGUAAUUGCAAUGUGUAUGCUUAGAUUGUAAGUGAAGCUUUUAAUAAUAAUUUUCUUAAAAAACAUGAUUUUAUAUGCUGUCAGUGAGUUUUUUAUUGAAAAAAGUGCUUAAAAUUAAAAAAAAGUCUCCUGUUUCAUCAAGAAAAGUACACUGAUUCACAAUCAAUACAUUUAUUUGGGCCUUUUCCUGUUAUAUUGGGGAAUUUCGCAUGCAAUGAUACCAGUUUUUGCCAUAAAAGUUACGCGUAACAAUAAUUGGAACCACGAAAUCAGCUGUCGUCACUUAGACUAAAAAUCAUGCAUUCCGACUUGACUGCGGCCAAUUUAGUCACCGCUUAAAAUGGCCAUUUUAAGGCCUUUACCCCCAUCCGAAUGCACUGAAAUUGCAUAUUCAUUGUGGAAAUAGUUGAAAUCUCAUGUGGAGAAAGUUUGAAAAAGAUAGGACAAAGUUGAGUUCCCUUAAAGGUUACAUUACACUAAAUCAUUGUGUAUCCCUCCGUGGUCCAUUCGAAAGUAGUGCCUAUUUCUAAAUAGUUCCUUUUCUCUUCUUGAAUAUAAGCCAUUUAACAAUGUGAGACAUGUCUUUUGUGGUUAUUUGUAAUAUCCUGUAUGUGUCUGGAGUACUUUGAUGCCUUGGAUUGGAAGCUAACUUAAAAGAUGAACUUUUGAGGGUGUGUUUUCUAUUGUGUGGGGCUUUUGUCGAAAUUAGGAUUCCGAAACACGUUUUUCUACGGUGGGUUCAUUCGACAGCGAUUUACUUUCUUAGAAGUUGCGAGACGGUAUGUUUUUGAUUGCAAUUAUUGGAAGAUGACAGAUCCAUCUUUAAAAUGA